rnacentral:rRNA from 1 species
CCUACGGGAGGCAGCAGUGAGGAAUAUUGGUUAAUGGCCGAGAGGCUGAACCAGCCAAGUAGCGUGCGGGAAGAAUGUCCUAUGGAUCGUAAACCUCUUUUGUCAGGGAGCAAAGUCACCCACGUGUGGGUGUCGGCAGGUACCUUACGAAAAAGCACCGGCUAAUUCCGUGCCAGCAGCCGCGGUAAUACGGAGGACGCGAGCGUUAUCCGGAUUUAUUGGGUUUAAAGGGUGCGUAGGCGGGUUAUCAAGUCAGCGGUAAAAUCGUGGGGCUCAACUCCAUCCAGCCGUUGAAACUGAUGAUCUUGAGUGGGCGAGAAGUAUGCGGAAUGCGUGGUGUAGCGGUGAAAUGCAUAGAUAUCACGCAGAACUCCGAUUGCGAAGGCAGCAUACCGGCGCCCGACUGACGCUGAAGCACGAAAGCGUGGGUAUCGAACAGGAUUAGAUACCCUUGUAGUC